ACUAAAGGGAAAGUUUAUUUAAAGUCUUUGAAAACUUGUUCCCCAUAUCAUCCAACUGAAAGUCUUGCCCAGGGAACUCUACUCCUGGUACCGGACAUGGUUGCUCUUCACUUGCUGGUCAUGUCUGGUUAGGCGGAUUCAACCUUGACCCAGAGUGUCCAUUCUCAACCUGUGGGUUGUGACCUCAUUGGCAAACCACUACCUGCAAUAACGUAUACAUUAUGAUUCAUAAGAGAAAUGGCUUCAUGGACGCUCCUCACCUAAUUUGUUCAGUGGAACUCACACACUGCCCAAGCCUGUCUGUGGUCCUCCAAGAAGUCUCCAGUUCCCUUCUCUUCUCUCAGGCCCCUGGGACAUGCAGUACCCUGAAGCCUGGCCUGGUGUCACAACAGAACCACGGUGAAUGCUUGCCCGUGUCUUCAGUUAUAGUGAAUCAUUCAGCCAAUGUCUCCAGUCCUAGUAAACUUUGCUGCGACCUGCUUGGAGGUUUUCAUUCUGACAUAAUUCUGGAAUUAUCUUUUUCUUCAUAAAGACAGUCAUUACUAUCAGAAAA
ensembl:lincRNA Gm43698 predicted gene 43698